AGUCACUGACAUUAGAUACCCGCGUAGUCCAGGGUGUAAACGCUGCAGACUUGGUGUUGGAAGCCCUUUGGGGGCAUUCAGUGCCGGAGAGAAGUUGUUAAGUCUGCUACUUGGGAGUACGUCCGCAAGGAUGAAACUUAAAGGAAUUGGCGGGGGAGCACCGCAACGGGAGGAGCGUGCGGUUUAAUUGGAUUCAACACCGUAAAACUCACCAGGGAAGACUGUUACAUGAAGGCCGAGAUGAAGACUCUGCUAGAUUUUCAG
rnacentral:rRNA from 1 species